rnacentral:rRNA from 1 species
GAUGAACGCUGGCGGCGUGCCUAAUACAUGCAAGUCGAGCGAACAGAUAAGGAGCUUGCUCCUUUGACGUUAGCGGCGGACGGGUGAGUAACACGUGGGUAACCUACCUAUAAGACUGGAAUAACUCCGGGAAACCGGGGCUAAUGCCGGAUAACAUUUAGAACCGCAUGGUUCUAAAGUGAAAGAUGGUUUUGCUAUCACUUAUAGAUGGACCCGCGCCGUAUUAGCUAGUUGGUAAGGUAACGGCUUACCAAGGCAACGAUACGUAGCCGACCUGAGAGGGUGAUCGGCCACACUGGAACUGAGACACGGUACAGACUCCUACGGGAGGCAGCAGUAGGGAAUCUUCCGCAAUGGGCGAAAGCCUGACGGAGCAACGCCGCGUGAGUGAUGAAGGUCUUCGGAUCGUAAAACUCUGUUAUUAGGGAAGAACAAAUGUGUAAGUAACUGUGCACGUCUUGACGGUACCUAAUCAGAAAGCCACGGCUAACUACGUG